AUUGAACGCUGGCGGCAUGCUUUACACAUGCAAGUCGAACGGUAACAGGCCUUCGGGUGCUGACGAGUGGCGAACGGGUGAGUAAUGCAUCGGAACGUACCCAGAGGUGGGGGAUAACGCAGCGAAAGCUGUGCUAAUACCGCAUGUGAUCUGAGGAUGAAAGCGGGGGACCGAGCAGCAAUGUUUGGCCUCGCGCCUUUGGAGCGGCCGAUAUCGGAUUAGCUAGUUGGUGGGGUAAAGGCCUACCAAGGCGACGAUCCGUAGCUGGUCUGAGAGGACGACCAGCCACACUGGGACUGAGACACGGCCCAGACUCCUACGGGAGGCAGCAGUGGGGAAUUUUGGACAAUGGGCGCAAGCCUGAUCCAGCAAUGCCGCGUGCGGGAAGAAGGCCUUCGGGUUGUAAACCGCUUUUGGCAGGAACGAAACGGUGUCCGCUAAUACCGGGCGCUAAUGACGGUACCUGCAGAAUAAGCACCGGCUAACUACGUG
rnacentral:rRNA from 1 species